UGGAUCAGAACGAACGUUGGCGGCGUGCCUAAUACAUGCAAGUCGAGCGAAUCAUCAGGAGCUUGCUCCUGAUGGUUAGCGGCGGACGGCUGAGUAACAGCCUGGGCAACUUGCCUGUAAGACUGGGAUAACACCGGGAAACCGGUGCUAAUACCGGAUAAUUCUUCACCUUUCAUGAAGUGAAGGUGAAAGUCGGUUUCGGUUGACACUUACAGAUGGGCCCGCGGCGCAUUAGCUAGUUGGAGAGGUAAUGGCUCACCAAGGCGGGGAUGCGUAGCCGACUUGAGAGGGUGAUCGGCCACACUGGGAUUGAGACACGGCCCAAGAUACUACGGGAGGCA
rnacentral:rRNA from 1 species